AACGAACGCUGGCGGCAGGCUUAACACAUGCAAGUCGAACGCCCUCUUCGGAGGGAGUGGCAGACGGGUGAGUAACGCGUGGGAACCUACCUAUCAGUACGGAACAACUCAGGGAAACUUGUGCUAAUACCGUAUACGUCCUUCGGGAGAAAGAUUUAUCGCUGAUAGAUGGGCCCGCGUUAGAUUAGCUAGUUGGUGAGGUAACGGCUCACCAAGGCGACGAUCUAUAGCUGGUCUGAGAGGAUGAUCAGCCACACUGGAACUGAGACACGGUCCAGACUCCUACGGGAGGCAGCAGUGGGGAAUAUUGGACAAUGGGCGCAAGCCUGAUCCAGCCAUGCCGCGUGAGUGAUGAAGGCCCUAGGGUUGUAAAGCUCUUUCAACGGUGAAGAUAAUGACGGUAGCCGUAGAAGAAGCCCCGGCUAACUUCGUGCCAGCCGCCGCCGUAACAC
rnacentral:rRNA from 1 species